rnacentral:rRNA from 1 species
GUCCAGAGUUGUAAGCUGGAGAGGUGUCGUCCGACUCGGUCCAGGCUCAAUUUCCUUGGAACAGGAGGUCAUGGAGGGUGAGAACCCCGUACAUGGCUUGGGCGCCGCCGUCCUUGUGACGCAUCCUCUAAGAGUCGGGUUGUUUGGGAAUGCAGCUCAAAAUGGGUGGUAAAUUUCAUCUAAAGCUAAAUAUGGGCGAGAGACCGAUAGCAAACAAGUAGAGUGAUCGAAAGAUGAAAAGUACUUUGAAAAGAGAGUGAAACAGUACGUGAAAUUGUUGAAAGGGAAGCGUUUGGCAUCAGCCCAUGGCGGUGGUACGAACAUCCUUGCUUCGGCAUGGUGCACUCGUCCACCGUUGGGCCAGCGUCGGCUCUGCCUGCCAGAGAAAGGCCUUGGGGAAGUGGCUCUCCCUUCGGGGAGCGUGUUAUAACCCAUGGUGUCAUGUGGCUUUGGCGGGGCCGAGGUCCGCGGUUUUGUCCUAGGACGCUGGCGUAAUGGUUCCAAGCGACCCGUCUUGAAACACGGACCAA